UGGCUUAGCCGGUAAAGCAUGAGACUCUUGAUCUCAGGGUCGUGAGUUCAAACCCCAC
rnacentral:tRNA from 1 species